GAUGAACGCUAGCGGCAGGCUUUAACACAUGCAAGUCGAGGGCAUCGAGAGAGUAGCAAUACUUUUGUCGGCGACCGGCGGACGGGUGCGUAACGCGUAUGCAACCUACCUUAUACAGGGGGAUAACCUUUCGAAAGGGAGACUAAUACCGCAUAACAUUACUUUGAGGCAUCUUGAGGUAAUUAAAUCUUCGGAGGUAUAAGAUGGGCAUGCGUAGCAUUAGCUAGAUGGUGCGGUAACGGCGUACCAUGGCGACGAUGCUUAGGGGUUCUGAGAGGAAGGUCCCCCACACUGGUACUGAGAUACGGCCCAGACUCCUACGGGAGGCAGCAGUGGGGAAUAUUGGGCAAUGGGCGAAAGCCUGACCCAGCAACGCCGCGUGAAGGAAGAAGGCCUUCGGGUUGUAAACUUCUUUUACCAGGGACGAAGAACGUGACGGUACCUGGAGAAAAAGCAACGGCUAACUACGUG
rnacentral:rRNA from 1 species